CUGGAAAUGGGGGGAAGGAGUUGAGCUAGUGAUGAUGACUGGGGCAUCAUGGGGUUCUGUGGUUUGAUGAGCACUUGGGUUUUACUCCAGGUGUGAAGGGGGCUGCAGAGGGUGGCAAGCAGAAGGCUGAAUUACACUUUCAAAAGGCCACCCUGCAAGAGAGGCAGGAAGCCCCAGGGGGAGGCUGAUUUAGCUGUCCAGGAGAGAGUUGGUACUGAGGGACCAUGGCAAGAGGUCAACAUACACAUUGGAAGUGGUCCCAAUAGGAUUUGUUGAUGCACUGGACGAAAGGGAGGCAGAAGUCAAGGAGGCCCAAUGCUUUUCUCUGAACAGGGGUUAAGUGGAGCUCUUAUUUGCUUAGAUGGAGAGUUCCAGGUAGGGACUCAACUGUAGAUGUCCUCUGGGAGGAGACGGUCUUUGAAACUGGGACAGAGCAACUGAGGGAGGUGGACUCUUAAGGAGCCAGUGACUUCCUGGAAGGUGGAGAGGAGAGCAUGCUCAGGGAUAGCUGAGGAUUCUCGCCUGGAGAUUGGUGCCCGUGAUUCCAGGAGAGUGACUGAUUUGCACUCGCAGAGACAUGCACCCGGAGGUGAUCACCCAACUCCAAAAAACCAGGAGGGAAGAUUGGGGCUUGCCGUCAAACUGUCCCAAGGAAGGGACUGUGGUGGCACCAGCAAGGGAGUUCGAGAGCAGUGCCCCGUCCAGCACUGGCCUUUGGGGCCCUCUUUGGCCUUGGUUGUCAUGGGCCUGGGCUGCUCACAGACCCUUCCCUCCGUCCCCAGCUGGUCACAGAAGGCACAGAGCAGACACUCAGCUUCCUGGCAUCGAUGUUUUACAACCCUGAUUGCCCAUCUGUGGGGCCCUUCCACUGCACUUCUGAUGCUCCAGGGUCUCUCCUCUUAACCCGACUGGGUGGACUCAGCCUCCAGGCCCUGCUGUGGCUUCCAGUGACUUGGGAGUCUGGGGUUCUCUCUGUACCACCUCCAGUCACAGAAGGGCAAUAUGGACCACCCUGGCUUCUGGCAAAGGAACAACCUUCCAGUCAAGGGACAAUUAAAAAGAUCGCCCCAGUGUGCCGUCAACUCCCAAUUAAUCUCUCUCCCACCCCACCCAGCAGCAGUCCAAGCUUAGUCACUUCAUGCCAGUGUUUACACCUGGGAACUCUGUUCUGUGGAGCUUCAUUUGUGGCCAUCCCCCUAUCCCCAACCUUGGAGAUGAAGAACAGAGGGUAGACUGUGAUGCCAAAACCAGCACGGGGUGGGGCUUCAAACAAGGACCAGCAGCUGCUGCAAGGAUGCACAGAGGCCACGGAUGGGGAGUGAUGAGCAAAAAGGAGCAGAAACCACCAGCAGCACUUGAGUUAGUGGGGAGCUGGCACAGGAGAGGACACAGAGAGGGAAUCCUGGCGGGAGGGCAGGUCUGGGGCUGGUAAAGUCACAGUGCUUCGCUGGGUGUCCACCUCAGGGACACAGAUUGGUGGCUUGUCUUUUCCAUCCACCCCUUUGCCUGGCUCUCUGGACUCCUAAGGCAGACCUUGUAGGUCUAGGCAUCUGCCUACCAGACUCAGAGGCAGAGUGAUGCAACUUCUUUAUCUUUGCUUCCUUUUAAAAAUGAAACUCCCCAAAGCUAACUUCUCAUGUUUCACUGGCUGGAAUUUCUUUACCUCCCCACCAUGCCUAACCAAUCUCUUGGCAAAAGACCUGAGCCACCAGGAUUGCUUUGGAGCAGUUAAAGUUCAUGCCGCUGGGGCUUGGCAGGGGUUCUUCCUUGAAGAGAGGGUGAACAAAAUUGGGGUCCAACCAGAGGAUGAUGUGGGGGGUGGAGGCGUUGGUCAGGCAACAGCACCUGCCAUAGAGAGAAAGAGGAGGCCUGGGUGUUUGGGAACAACACAGCAGCUCCAGAGAAGGAUGACACUUGAGACUGAGGCAGAGUCCCUCAUUCGCUCAGCAUACCUUUGACCCCAGCUGACUUUGGGCUACAUUGACAGGGCCGUGUUGACAGUCCUGUCCUGGGUGUUUCCACCAAGAGUGGAGCACUUACACCCUCACUAAGUGCCAUGCCUGGACAUGGUUCUGAGUGAGCUUUGUGGAAGAAUGGCCAAGACUUUAGUAAGGCGGGAGGCCAAGGAGUGUGGACCCAGAGGUGGCUGGAGAUUGUGGGAAAUUAGGGUUUGGUAGUGAGCAUGCCAAGGAAAGGUAGAAGAGAGGCAGCCAAGGGGAGGGGCAGCUCUCAGGGCUGCGAGUUCCAGGGACUGGGGAGCAGCUGGAGGGUUUGAAGACCCAUGAAGAUCUCUGCCACCAACCUCAAAGGGGCCCCAGGUGCCUCCAGAGCAGGAACUGGCAGAGAGGACUGAAUCUUCUGGUGGGAAGGGAACUUAAGCGCAGUUCUGGAGACUCCUGGAGA
ensembl:lncRNA